CCUACGGGGGGCAGCAGUGGGGAAUAUUGGGCAAUGGGCGAAAGCCUGACCCAGCAACGCCGCGUGAAGGAAGAAGGCUUUCGGGUUGUAAACUUCUUUUGACAGGGAAGAGCAGAAGACGGUACCUGUCGAAUAAGCCACGGCUAACUACGUGCCAGCAGCCGCGGUAAUACGUAGGUGGCAAGCGUUGUCCGGAUUUACUUGGUGGAAAGGGCCGGUAGCCGGGCUGACAAGGCAGAUGUGAAAGCCGGGGGCUCAACCCCCGAACUUCAUUUGAAACUGUUUGGCUUGAGUAUCGGAGAGGGAAGCGGAAUUCCAUGUGUAGCGGUGAAAUGCGUAGAGAUUUGGAGGAACACCAGUGGCGAAGGCGGCCUGCUGGACGACAACUGACGGUGAGGCGCGAAAGCGUGGGGAGCAAACAGGAUUAGAUACCCUGGUAGUC
rnacentral:rRNA from 1 species